rnacentral:rRNA from 1 species
UACAGAGGGUGCAAGCGUUAAUCGGAAUGACUGGGCGUAAAGGGCGUGUAGGCGGUAAGAUAAGUUAGAUGUGAAAUCCCCGGGCUUAACCUGGGAACUGCAUCUGAUACUGUUUUACUAGAGUACAAGAGAGGAGAGUGGAAUUUCCGGUGUAGCGGUGAAAUGCGUAGAUAUCGGAAGGAACAUCAGUGGCGAAGGCGGCUCUCUGGCUUGAUACUGACGCUGAGGCGCGAAAGCGUGGGUAGCGAAC